GACGAACGCUGGCGGCGUGCUUAACACAUGCAAGUCGAACGGAAAGGCCCUGCUUGCAGGGUACUCGAGUGGCGAACGGGUGAGUAACACGUGGGUGAUCUGCCCUGCACUUCGGGAUAAGCCUGGGAAACUGGGUCUAAUACCGGAUAGAAGCAAUUUUUAGUGUGAUGGUUGGAAAGCUUUUUCGGUGUAGGAUGAGCUCGCGGCCUAUCAGCUUGUUGGUGGGGUAAUGGCCUACCAAGGCGGCGACGGGUAGCCGGCCUGAGAGGGUGGACGGCCACAUUGGGACUGAGAUACGGCCCGGACACCUACGUGAGGCAGCAGGGGGGAAUGUUGCACAAUGGGCGCGAGCCUGAUGCAGCGACGCCGCGUGGGGGAUGGCGGCCUUCGGGUUGUAAACUCCUUUCGCUAGGGACGAAGCUUUUUGUGACGGUACCUAGAGAAGAAGCACCGGCUAACUACGUG
rnacentral:rRNA from 1 species